GUGGUGGUUCAGUGGCAGAGCAUUUGCCUCCUACGUGUGAGAUAUUGGGUUCAAUCCUCAGCACCACA
rnacentral:tRNA from 1 species